UUUAAAUCAGUUUAUUUCAAUCAUUUAUCAUCAUAUCAAUUUUAUUUUUUACAUUGCAUCAACGGACCAAAUUAAACGUUUCCAAUUAUAAAGAAAGAUCAAAUUCGACCAAGUUUCCGAACAUUGUCAUUCUACCUUUCAAGAUUUCUUCUCCGCAACCAAUCGAAGCCAUGGAAUCGGUGCCAAUAUCAUUUAUUCUGAAAGAGGCCUCAAAACAUCUGAUCAACGUUCUGGGGACGGAAUUCACACUCAUAAAAAAUACUCCGGGCGAAUUGGAAAAACUGAAAAGAUUCAAGACAAUCAUCGUCACUGUUCAACGAGACGUCGCCGGUCGGGAAUUAAGCCAACAAGAUGUUGUCUGGCUGGAUGAGAUGAUAGAUGCUGCGUAUGAUAUCGAGGAUAUCGUAGAUCUGUCCAGUACAAAGAUUCUUCAACUGAGAAGCAACAACAACGAGGAAUCAACUUGUUGUAUCCAUUGGGUAAUUGAUUUCUUCUCUUGCACCUAUAAUACUCUUAUUUUUCGCCACGAAAUAGGAACUAGGGUGCAAAAUACAUUCGUUAGAUUGGCUAAUAUUGCGGAAGAGAAGAAAUACCAUCUUACUCAUAGUGGGAGGGAUGGAGUGGAAAAUCUGAGUACAAAGAUGCCAGAGACCAUUUCUGAAAUGGGUGAGGAUGUUGUACUGGGAAGAGAUCGUGAUCUCAAAAUUAUACUUGAACAAUUAUUGUUCAAAGAGAAAACAAACAUUGAUGUGCUUGUUUUAGUCGGAAUGGGUGGUGUUGGGAAGACCACACUUGCAAAACUCGUGUACAAUGAUAGCCAAGUAGAUGCUCUCUUUGGUGAAAGAAAGCUUUGGGUUUGCGUAUCAGAAAUUUUUGACUCGUCGAAAAUUAUCAAACUUGUUAUUGAGCAAAUAGAUGGAAACCCGUGUAAACUCGAAGGAUUGCAAGCGUUGAGCAAGAAAUUGAAAGAGCUUUUAGAAACAAACAUGUAUUUAUUAGUUUUGGACGAUGUUUGGACUAAUUCAAGUUUAACUUGUGAUUCUUGGUCGAUUAUGAAAUCAUUGUUUCUUAAUUGUAAGAUUCUGGUAACAACUCGUGAGGAGAAUGUAAUAUCUGUGAUUUUACCAGAACCUUACAUGCAUCGUGUGGGAUGUCUACCUGAGGAUGCUUCAUGGUCAUUGUUCAAGAAUAUUGCAUUUUCCAAUGGUAACGUUCCAGAGGAAUUGAAAGAUAUCAGCAAAAGUAUUGUGAAAAAAUGCAAAGGUGUACCUUUAGCUGUGAGGGUUCUUGGUAGCAUGAUGCGUAACCAAAAUUUUACUUACUGGAAAGAGAUUGAGAAAAACAAUAUUCUUGAUCUUAAUAUUGAAGGUGAAAAUAGAAUAUCCAAGAUUCUAAAAUUCAGCUAUCAUAAUCUUCCUUUAAAGUCAAAGUUUUGCUUUGUCGAUCUACUGUUCUAUUUUCCCCAAAGAUUCAGUUAUGAAGAAAAUAAAAUUGAUCCAACAAUGGGCUGGCAAUGGUUUUAUUUCGCUGAACGAGGGAAAUAAGAUUUUCGAAGAUUUAUUGUCAAGAUGUUUCUUCCAAGAUGUCGAGAAAGAUGAUUACGGCAGCAUUACAAUAUUUAAGAUGCAUGAUUUAAUCCAUGACCUUGCUGAAUCGAUUGCUAAGUCUCUGCAAUGUGGAAUCUUCGAUGAUAGAAUUCAAGAUAGAAAUUUAUCGGAUAGAAAACAAGUUCGUUAUUUAUCGAUAAUAUUAAACAUGGGAGAAGGAGAAGAAUUUUCUUAUUCAGAUAUUUCGAGUAAAUUACGAACAUUGCAGUUGUUAACUUCUACAUUAGUAACUAUGACAUUUCUGGAUAAUUGCUUCACCAAGUUCAAAUUCUUACGGGUUUUGGUUUGUAGUUAUCAGUAUGGUUUUGAAGAGAUUCCAUCUUCCAUCGACAACCUCAAGCUUCUGAGAUAUGUUGACUUCUGUCAUACAGGUAUAACACGACUCCCAGAAACGGUCUGCAACCUUCAAAAUUUACAGACGUUGAAACUCAACAAUUGUCGAGAUCUUAUUGUUUUGUCAAAGAAGCUGGGAAAAUUAUCCGAGUUAAGGUAUUUGGAAAAUGAUGAUUGUAUAAGUUUGGAUUCAAUGCCUGUUGGGAUGGAUCGUUUGAGUCUUUUGCAGACAUUGAAUACUUUUGUAGUAAAUGAUGGAGGAAAAAAUUUAAAUGAAUUACGACAUCUGGAUCAUCUAGAAGGAAGUCUUUGUAUAAAACAUCUUGACAGAAUUCAAAAUGUUGUUUUGGAAAAUGGAAUACUAAAUAGAAAGAGCAAUCUUGUAUCAUUGGACCUGAUAUGGGGAUUAUGGAUACAAUCUAAAAGAAGGGAUUAUGGAAAAGUGUUAGAAGCUUUACAACCACAUCCCAAUUUGAAAUAUUUAAAUAUAAAUGGGUUUGAUGGAUUCUUCAUUCCCUUAGACAUGAGUUGUCUAAAAUCCCUUACAUAUUUAGUGAUUUUACAUUGUAAAAACCUUACAUGUCUUCCAAACAACAUAGGUUCUCUUAAAUCCCUUACACAUUUAGAGAUUUAUUAUUGUCCAAAUGUCACCUCUCUUCCCAACGACAUGAGUUGUCUAAAAUCCCUUACACAUUUAGUGAUUUUACAUUGUAAAAACCUUACAUGUUUUCCAAACAACAUAGGUUCUCUUAAAUCCCUUACACAUUUAGAUAUUUCAUGUUGUGAAAACCUUACAUGUCUUCCAAACAACAUGGGUUCUCUUAAAUCCCUUACACAUUUAGAGAUUUCAGGUUGUAAAAACCUUACAUGUCUUCCAGACAACAUGGGUUCUCUUAAAUCCCUUACAUAUUUAAAGAUUUUAAGAUGUAAAAACCUUACAUGUCUUCCAAACAGCAUGGGUUCUCUUAAAUCCCUUACAUAUUUAAAGAUUUUAAGAUGUAAAAACCUUACAUGUCUUCCAAACAGCAUGUGUUCUCUUAAAUCCCUUACAUAUUUAGAGAUUAAAUUUUGUAAAAACCUUACAUGUCUUCCAAACAACAUGGGUUCUUUUAAAUCCCUUACACAUUUAGUGAUUUAUUAUUGUCCAAAUCUCACCUCUCUUCCCAACGACAUGGGUUCUCUUAAAUCCCUUACACAUUUAAAGAUUUCAUCUUGUAAAAAGCUCACAUGUCUUCCAAACAACAUGGGUUCUCUUAAAUCCCUUAUACAUUUACAGAUUUCAUAUUGUGAAAACCUUUCAUGUCUUCCAAACAACAUGGGUUCUCUUAAAUCCCUUACACAUUUAGAAAUUUCAAAUUGUAAAAACCUUACAUGUCUUCCAAACAACAUGGGUUCUCUUAAAUCCCUUACACAUUUAGAGAUUUCAAAUUGUUAAAACCUCAUAUGUCUUCCAAACAAUAUGGGUUCUCUUAAAUCCCUUACACAUUUAGAGAUUUCAUUUUGUGAAAACCUUACAUGUCUUCCAAACAACAUGGGUUGUCUCCAAUCCCUUACACCUUUAACAAUUGAAUCUUGUCCAAGUUUGGUUGAUAAUUCUUUUGCCCUGGAAUGUCUUACUUCUCUAAAAGAAAUAGAAGUGGCCGGCUGUGAUCAAUGGAUUAGAAAUUGGUCUGACGAUGCAAUAACCAGAUUUUUCUCAGUUGAAGAAGGUUCAUUGAUUUCGAUAUGCAUUAAGGAUGAUGAUAUUGAUUUAUUGUCUAGAUGGUUACGAAAGAAGAUUGAAUAUUCCACCAAAAUAACACAAACAUUGAUAAUCAACGGUGAUCAUCGAGGCAGUGAUUUCUAUAGAGGGAGACACCAUCUCAGUAUUUGUUGUUUUAAACAAGAGAAAUUACCAGAAGAGUUGGUGCAUGUUCAGGAUCUUCAAAUCAUGGCCGUUGAAAAUUGUCCAAAUCUAAAUUGCUUGCCGAAUGGGAUGAAAAAACCACAAUUUUUGAAAAUUGAGAAUUGCCCGAUGUUGGAGAAGAAUUGUGAAGAAAGAGGUUACGAGUAUGGUGAUGAAAUUGAAUCAAUCAUGACCUUUCAUAAUUUUUAAAAUAAAUUAAUCAUCUCACAACCGUUCAUUUAUUAUUAUUAUUAUUUUCUCUAUUAGAGUAUACCACUGUGUAAACUGUUUUUUUCUUCUUCCGUUUAUCGGUAAAUAACGAUAUUUUUCGUACGAAUAUGUCGUUCACAGAAACAUCUCGUACAAUGUUUUUAAAUUUCACUAUACCUCCGAUCGCUCUCUGUUUCUUUCUCAUUUAUGCUUUUUGAUUUUCUCUCUCCUCCCCUUCGCCGCCUAAAUCGUUCGCCGAGAAAUCGCCCGUCGAAAUCAUCCGCCAAACGCUCGUGCGAAGUCGUGUCCUCGCCGAUAUCGUCGUCUCCAAGUCUCCCCCGUCUUCCCAAGUCCAAAUCUCACGUUCUCGUCGUCUUCAUUGUUCCCAAGUCCUCGUCGAUCUUGUCCGCACCAUAUUCGUCUUCAUCUUAAAGUCUUAAAGUACGUAUUCGAAACCGCCGCCGUUGUCGAUGUCAUUAUUUUUUGGGUAUCCACUGACGGCGUCUUCAUCUUCUACAUUUGAAUAAACCAAACCCAUGCAUAUUUGUCAAUGAUGUAUUGUCUUCCGUCAAGGUAGCGGAACACUUUUUGAUCCCACCAUAUUCUUUGAUUGGAUCGAACCAGAGGUAGAUUCUUUGCUCUCUAUCUCCCUUUCCACCUGUGAUCGAUCGAACACGUUGGUCUGAACAAUUAAUGUAUGGCUCUUUGAGUUUUUUUUCCCAAGAACUCGAAGUCAAUCUCAUCGUGUUCAGAAUUCUGUGACUGAAGACUGAAGAAGAAGAACCACGAGGAUGGUGCAUGGUGGUGGUGAGAUAAUGAGAUUUAUCAGUACUGGUGAGAAUGAAAAACAUAGACUUACAUAGAAUGCAGUGGCUGUUCCGGCAAAAUCCCCGGGAACCAUCUUAAUCUGUAUACUCAAGUGUCCAAACAGGUAAGACCAUAUAUAAUUUUUCCUAUUAAUCUUCUAGCUGCCUCUCUAAUUUUUGCUUCUUUUCUAAUUUUUUUUUUAUAUCUUUGAAUAAUUUAAAUCUAGUUAAGUUACACUUCUUUUCAAAUUCAAACUCUUAUUUUCACAUUUAGGGGAGUGGGUCGGGUCAAACCUGAAUUCGAACAUGUCGGGUCUAAGUUUGGUUGGAUAUUAUCGGUCAUAAAACCCGAUAUACCUGAACCCGAGUUUUUUUCACCCGAUAUGAAGGACUUGAACCUGAGUUUUUUUCACUUGAUUUUUUUCGGGUCGGGUUCAGAUAAGACGUCCCGAACCAAACUCGACUCUCCUUAAACCCGAAUUUUUUUAUAAAAAUAUCUUAAAAUAAAAAUAACGACGUCUGCAAGGGGAUUGACUGUAACAUCUGCGAUCUCCAUUCCAACAGAAAAAAAAUUAGUAAAUUUGAAAGAAAAAAACGAAAAUGAAAUUCCCUAAAUCUUCACUGCACAAAUUGGUAAAAUUGAAAUUGAAUUUCAUUAAAGAAUAUGAUUUAACAUUACAUCUUUUAUCUUUACAUAGCCUUAGACUUAACCUCUAACUAUAUAUAACUGCCUAACUGUAUUCUAAACUCAUUUAUAACUUCAUUCUCUAAUACUGAUUACUGUACAUUUUUUUCCAAUAUAUAAUAUUAAGCAAAUUUGACUACAAGCAUCAAAACUGAGGAUCAAAAUUUUCAAGACGAGGAAAAAAAACGAAAUUAAAAUUAGAAUAGUAUGUUGAUGUUCUCACCUAAUUUGACAUUAUCAAGAGAGUUGAAUAUGGAUAUAAUGUCAUAUAAUGGUAGAAAACAAUGAAUUAAUUUAAACAACAUUUAUCAAUCAAAUCCAUCAAUCAGACCAUCAACUGCAAGUUAAUUUCAUGUGUUGAACUCAAUUAAACAAUACUGAACAACCAGAAUGUGAAAUUCAUGGUGAUCGCGACAAUAACAUAUUACCAGUUAUUGCUAGUACGUAUUAUGCAGUCAUUCUAAGUUGUUUUUCAGCUUACAACAUUUAUUUUGCUAAACUCUCAUCCUGAUGUUUUCUGCAGCUUUUACUUGAAACAAGUGUGGAUGUUCCUGAAAAAUAAAACAUGAUCAGCAAAAUCUAAACAACUUUUCCAAUAACCUUUAUUUAAAAACACUUUUCCAAUGAUCAAACAAUAUCCUCAAACCAAUUAAUUCCACUUUAUUAUUUCACCCUUUCAUUUUGAAUUCAAACAAAAGAUUAAUAAAAUAAAUCAACUGUGCUUUAUUCAUAAAUAUCAAACUAUCCCACAAUAAAUGCAUCAAAAUGAAAACAAAAAAGACAAUGCUUUUACCAUUGCUUCUCGAGCAGUGAGCCUGUCCUGAUGAUCAAUCAUAGCGAAGCAGCUUGUUAAGAAAAUCUAUGGCCUGUAUAUUUCUUUGAGUAAACAAGUGUUUAAAGGUUCGGAGUUUAACUAUUUGUUAGCUCAGGAGAAACUAAAUGUUGAUUGUCUCCAUUAAUGAAUUUGGACCAUGCUUUCCUGCUAUGCCUGGAAAUAUAUUAAUAUUAACAAACAUAUAUAUCACAUGUUUUCAUGUCUCCAAUUCUUUUAAUGAAUAUUUAUCUAUUUAAGAAAUUAAGAUAAAAACAGUAUAAUUCAAUAUCUCGUCGUCGUCAUCGUCGGAUCCAUCUUUAGAUUUGACUAUUUGAGUUUUUGACUAAUAAUUAUUUGAUGUUUUAUCUUAUUUAAAAUUUUAAAAAUUAUUUAAGAAUUAUUUGAUCAAAUUUUUCAUAUUAUGUAAAUAACAGAGUUUUUUAUGCAAAAUGUGAAAAAAAUUAUUAAACUCGAACACGACCAAACCCUACAUUCAAAUCGAGUUUUAUAAUUUUAGAUGUUCGCGAGUUUUGACUUGAACCCGAUUUUAAAACUUAGGUUCGAUUUUGGGUCAGGGCAAACCCAAGCCAUGCCCAUUCCUAAUUCAACUCUGAUGGAUCGUGGCUUACAAAUCGGGCGCUCACACACACACACACACACAAUUCUCUCUCUCAAGGAUUUAGUGUAUUCUCUCUCUAUUUUCCAGCCCGGCCCCUCCCUUGUUGGACCAGGGGAGGAAUUUAUAGGUUCAUCCCCGUGCCUCUUGGCUUAUAGACCUCCCUUGGCCCAGGCCCGUCGUGCGGUCGAGCCCGUGGUCGGUUCGGUCCAUGAUCCGUUGGACGGACCACGGCACCAACAAACUCAUAUUAUUAUUACCAUCAUACCAUUAAGGAUGAUUUUAUCGUUAAAUCCUUGUAGUGUUUUUAUUUUUACAUCGAAUUGACGAGUUUUAAUUUUAAUGGAAUGCUAGAGAAAGGAGACGGAUAGUUGAUAAAAUAUUUGUUUAGUAUUUGAAAGGUCAUGGGUUCAAUUUCCCAUGUAUCCAAAUAAUUAUUUCUUUUAAUUCGAGUCCAGACUCGUGGGCUCGAGUCUGACAAUUUUUAAAACGAGCCCGACCUCGACCAAACCAGGCUCGGCGAGCUCGAGUCCGAGCCUGGAUAAUUUCUUAAAGAGCCGAGCCCGAGCCUGACUUUAUAAGCAAAAGCUCGACUCGGCUCGUUUGACACCCUAGAGCCAGGGUAGUAGCUAUUACUGCAAUAUUAUAUGAGUACAUAAGUAGACAGAUAACCAGAAUAAAGGUUUUUUCCAGAAUAUUAAAAGAUGCAAGUCACACUGAUUUUUUUAAUCCAUAAUCUGUUGUUCUACACUUCAACAUCAUCUCAUUACAGAUUGCAAAUUUGCAAGGGGGUAUAAGAAGACGAAUCUGCACAUUAGUUUAGUAAUUGUAAUAAUUGUCAAUCAACUAAAAUCGGAAAGUAAAUCCUAAAUCAUAACUACUUACCAAAUCAACUAGCAUGGGGUUAAUUAUGAAUAUCCCUUAAACAUAAUAAAAUAUUAAAUGCAAUAUAUGGGGUGGACGUGCAUGGUGUGCAUUGAGAGUAAAUUUUUUAAUAAACGUACUCGUCUAACUUGGAUGUCUUUUUUGCUCGUUUGGCCAAGAAAAUAACAAGCUAUAUGCCAACAAAUUCGUUGAAUCGUCAAACUCAAUAAUAAUGCCAUAAGAUCGACAAUGAGUCAUGUUCAAAGAAAAACCUGUGGACCAUGGCUGAUUGACUAUUCCUUUAAAUGGUUCUUAAUUUAUAAGGGUGAGCCUGGGUCGGUUCAAAUCCGAACCCGGCGAAUCCGACCCGAACCCAAACAUGUUGGGUGUCGAACCCGAAUUUUUUUCACCCAAUUCAACCGAAACCUGAAUUUUUUUAUAAAAAAACCUUAAAAUAUAAAUAAUUAUAUAAAUAAAAUUUUAUUUUAUAUAAAAUAUUUUAUAAAAAUUUAAUAUACACAUUUAUUAAAUUUUUUUCUUCUUUUAAAAUCUAAACCCUAAUAUUAUUAUCAUUUUCCUAUAUAUUCUCUUCCAUUUUCAUCUUUCCUUUCCUCACCGUCGUUUUCGCCUAAUAAUUAUUUAAUAUUUUAAAAAUUAUUUGAUCAAAUUAUUUAAAUAACAAGGAUUUUUAUGCAAAAUUUUUAAAAAAUAUCAAAUCCGGCCCCGAACCCGACCAAAUCCGACAUCCAAUUCAGGUUCGGGUUAUAUAAUUUUAGAUGUUCCCGAUUUUGACUCGAACUCGAUUUCGGAUCAUGGCAAAUCCGACCCAUAUCCAUUCCUAGUUCUUUAUUCAUAGCUCACAUUUAUUUAAUCUUUUUUUUGUCGUUUUCUAUUAUUUAAUAACGUAGGAGUUAAGACCAAAUGGGCUCCGUAACUUUUCUCUCUCUCUAUAUAUAUAAAAUUGUUAUACCAGAGCCAAAUAAUAUAUUAUCGGAUAAAUCUAAUUGAAACGGAUAUCAAUUUUACUAUCUGGUUUGUAAUCAGGCAGAAACGGAUAUGUAUAUAGUAGUGAUAUUCGUCGUUAACUACCAAUAUAUAAACGUUAUAUGUAUAAAUUAAUAAAAUUAGAAUAGUUAAAUAUAAAAAUUUAAAUAACUCAUUCAAUAUUAAAUUAUUAGAAUUUAAACUCUCAUUUUCACAUUUAAAAUUUAUUUACAAUAUUCAACUUAGGGGUGGGACCCGAAUCUGAACAUAUUCAUUCCUAAUUCAACGACUCUUAUAUUAUUAUUACUAUCAUACCAUUAAGGAUAAUUUUAUAGUUAAAUCCUUGUAGUGUUUUAUUUUUACAUUAAAUUGACGAGUUUUAGUUUUAACGGAAUUCUAGAGGAGAAAGGAGACUAUGGAACAGGAACUAUCAGAUGAGAGCCAUAUAGGGGUAGUAGUCAUUUUUUGCGUUUUUCAAACUUAAAAUGAAAUUAUAUGAAAAUCAGUUGUUAAUAAUGAUACAGAUAAAUGAUUGUCUCAAUUAAACAUUUAAACCCUUAUAUAUCACUUCUAUGAAGGUUUUUAACUAUAAAUAAGGAAAAUUAUAUAUUGAUAUAGUUCGUAUACUUAUAAUCGAAAGUCAAACUCAAUAAUAAGGCGAAAGAAGACGACUGGUUCAUUUUUUAUGUGCGUCACGUAGGACCAUCUAGACACGGAGAAUGACGUUAUGUGGUUGGUUGAGUGAUCAAGUUGCGUGGAUGGUUGGAAAUUAUAAUGGAUAAUAAAAAUAAUAUUCCCUAAAUUCAAUUAGAUCCUUAUCCUAAUUUAAAUCAGUUUAUUUCAAUCACUUAAUUUUAUUUUUUUCAAUGCAUCAACGGACCAAAUUAAACGUUUCCAAUUAUAAAGAAAGAUCAAAUUUGACCACCGGUUCCGAAUAUUGUCAUUCUACCUUUCAAAAUUUCUUCUCCGCAAACGAUCGAAGCCAUGGAAUCGGUGCUAUCAUUUCCUCUGGGAGAGGCCUCAAAAAGUCUCAUGAAAACUCUGGGGGCGGAAAUCACACUCAUAAAAAAUGCUCCGGACGAAUUGGAAAACCUGAAAAGACUCAAGACUGUCAUCGCCAAUGUUCAACAAGACGUUGCCGGCCAGGAAUUAAGCCAACAACAUGCUGGUUGGCUCGAUGAGAUGAUUGAUGCUGCGUAUGAUAUCGAGGAUAUCAUAGAUCUGUCUAGUACAGAGAUUCUUCGACGGAGAAGCUACAACAACAGGAAAUUAACUCGUUAUACCUGCCGGGUAAUUGAUUUUUUUUCUUACACCAACAAUCCUCUUAUUUUUCGCCACAAAAUAGGAAAAAGUGUGCAAAAAACAUUCGCUAGAUUGGCUAAUAUUGCGAAAGAGAAGGGAUACCAUCUUACUCUUAGCGGGAGGGAUGGAGUGGAAAAUCUGAGUACAAAGAUGCCAGAGACCUUUUCUGAAAUGGGUGGGGAUGUUGUACUGGGAAGAGAUCAUGAUCUCAAAAUUAUACUUGAACAAUUAUUGUUUAAAGAGGAAACAAACAUCGAGGUGCUUGUUUUAGUCGGAAUGGGUGGUGUUGGGAAGACUGCACUUGCAAAACUAGUGUACAAUAAUAGUCAAGUAGAUGCUCUCUUUGGUGAAAGAAAGCUUUGGGUUUGCGUAUCAGAAAUUUUUGAUCUGUCGAAAAUUUGCAAACAUGUUAUUGAGCAAAUAGAUGGAGAGUGUAAAGUCAAAGGAUUGCAAGCGUUGAGCAAGAAAUUAAAAGAGCUUUUACAAACAAACAUAUAUUUAUUAGUUUUGGACGAUGUUUGGACCAAUUCAAGUUUAACUUUGGAUUCUUGGUCGAAUAUGAAAUUAUUGUUUCAUAAUUGUAAGAUUCUGCUAACAACUCGUGAGGAGAAUGUAAAAUCUGUGAUUUUACCAGAACCCUACAUGCAUCGUGUGGGAUGUCUACCUGAGGAUGCUUCCUGGUCAUUGUUCAAGAAUAUUGCAUUUUCCAAUGGUAACGUUCCAGAGGAAUUGAAAGACAUCAGCAAAAGUAUUAUGAAAAAAUGCAAAGGUGUACCUCUAGCUGUGAGGGUUCUUGGUAGCAUGAUGCGUAAAAAAAAUUUUAUUUACUGGAAAGAGAUUGAGAAAAACAAUAUUUUUGAUCCUAAUAUUGAAGGUGAAAAUAGAAUAUUCUCAAUUCUAAAAUUCAGCUAUCAUAAUCUUCCUUUAAAGUCAAAGUUUUGCUUUGUCUACUGUUCUAUUUUCCCCAAAGAUUCGGAUAUAGAGAAAAUAGAAUUGAUCCAACAAUGGGCAGGCAAUGGUUUUAUUUCGCUUAACGAGGGAAAUAAGAUUUUCGAAGAUUUAUUGUCAAGAUGUUUCUUCCAAGAUGUCGAGAAAGAUGUUUACGGAAGCAUUACAACAUUUAAAAUGCAUAAUUUAAUCCAUGACCUUGCUGAAGCGAUUGCUAAGUCUCUGCAGUAUGGAAUCUUCGAUGACAGUAUUCGAGAUAGAAAGCAAGUUCGUUAUUUAUCGAUGAUAUUAAACAUGGGAGAAGAAGUUUCUUAUUCAGAUAUUUCAAUCAAAUUGAAAGAUGCAUGUGUAUUACGAACAUUGCAGUCUUCAUCUUCUGAUAUAGUAAGUGAGAAAUUUCUGGAUAAUUGCUUCACCAAGUUCAAAUUCUUGCGGGUUUUGGUUUGUAGUGGUCAGUAUAAGCUUAAACAUGUUCCAGCUUCCAUCGACAACCUCAAGCUUCUGAGAUACGUUGACUUCUCUUAUAUGGGCAUAACAAGACUCCCAGAAACGAUAUGCAACCUUCCAAAUUUACAGACGUUGAAAAUCAACUAUUGCUUUAAUCUUACUGUUUUGCCAAAGAAGUUGAGAAAAUUAUCCGAGUUAAGGUAUUUGGAAAAUGAUAGAUGUAUUGGUUUGGAUUCAAUGCCUGUUGGGAUAGAUCGCUUGAGUCUUUUGCAAACAUUGAAUACUUUCGUAGUGAAUGAUGGAGGAACAAAUUUAAAUGAAUUAAGACAUCUGGAUCAUCUAAAAAGAAGUCUUUGUAUACGAAAUCUUGACAGAAUUCAAAAUGUUGUUUUGGAAAAUGGAAUAUUAAAUAGAAAGAACAAUCUUGCAUCAUUGGAGCUGUUAUGGAGAUUGCAGGAAGAAAAUGAAGUAACGAAUCAGAAUGAUGAAAAAGUAUUACAAGCUUUACAACCACAUCCCAAUUUGAAAUCUUUAAAUAUAACCAGGUUUAAUGGAUUCUUCAUUCCCUUAGACAUGAGUUGUCUCCAAUCCCUUAUCUACAUGAAGAUUUCUGAUUGUAAAAACCUUACCACUCUUCCCAACGACAUAUGUUCUUUCCAAUCCCUUACACAUUUAAAGAUUAAAAAGUGUUACAACCUCACCUCUCUUUCCAACGACAUGUGUUCUCUCCAAUCCCUUACACAUUUAAAGAUUAAACAUUGUUACAACCUCACCUCUCUUCCCAACGACAUGUGUUCUCUCCAAUCCCUUACACAUUUAAAGAUUUCUUAUUGUCGAAACCUCACUACUCUUCCCAACGACGUGUGUUUUCUCCAAUCCCUUACACAUUUAAAGAUUUCUGAUUGUCGAAACCUCACCACUCUUUCCAACGACAUGGGUUGUUUCCAAUCCCUUACACAUUUAGAGAUUUCUUCUUUUGAAAACCUUACCUCUCUUUUCAACGACAUGAGUUUUCUCCAAUCCCUUACACAUUUAAAGAUUAAAGAUUUUGAAAACCUCACCUCUCUUCCCAACGACAUGGGUUGUCUCCAAUCCCUUACACAUUUAGAGAUUUCUUCUUUUGAAAACCUUACCUCUCUUCCCAACGACAUGAGUUCUCUCCAAUCCCUUAUACAUUUAAAGAUUAAAGAUUUUGAAAACCUCACCUCUCUUCCCAACGACAUGGGUUGUCUCCAAUCCCUUACACAUUUAGUGAUUGUUCAUUGUCAAAAUCUUACAUCUCUUCCCAACGACAUAUGUCGUCUCAAGUCCCUCACUACUUUAACAAUUAAAUCUUGUCCAAGUUUGGUUGAUGUUUCUUUUUCUUUGGAAUAUCUUACUUCUCUAAAAGAAAUAGAAGUGGCCGACUGUGAUCAAUGGAUUAGAAAUUGGUCUGACGAUGCAAUAAGCAGAAUUUGCUCAGUUGAAAAACAUUCAUGGAUUUCGAUAUGCAGUAAGGAUGAUGAUUUAUUGUCUAGAUGGUUACGAAAGAAGAUCAAUUCCACCAAAAUAUUAGAUAGAUUGCAUAUCAACGGUGGCCAUGGAAACAAUAAUUUUUCUUUAAUGUACGUGCCACACGAGCUCAGUAUUUGUUGUUUUAAACAAAAGAAAUUGCCAGAAGAGUUGGUGCAUGUUCAGGAUCUUAAAUAUUUGUGCAUUGAAAAUUGUCCAAAUAUAAGUUACUUGCCGGAUGGGAUGAAAAAACCACAGUUUUUGUGGAUUGAAGAUUGCCCAAUGUUGGAGAGGUAUUGUAAAAAAAGACGUUACAAGUAUGAUGAUUAUAAUUAAUUCUUCACUUAAUCCAAGAAGAGCUAGCAGAUUUUAUCUUGAUGAACAUAUUUCUACCACAACAAUUCCAAUGGUAAAACUUCGUUUUUUUACUCAUUGUGUUUUAACAGGAUUUUUUGGAACUGUUUGUAAUUAGUUGAUUUUUUCGGAACUGAUAGAUUUUCUACCGGUUACAUAUACUCCUUACUAUCGGACCUGGUUCGUAUUUCUUCAUCAGCGGUGUUUCCACACAUUGCAAAAAAGGACAGAAGAUGAUCGUCAAGGUUUGAUCUACUUAUAUUAACCAUGUUCCGUCAGAAUCUCCAUCAGAAUCGCCGUCUUCGUUUCUUACAAAUCGAACUGACUCCACUCCUGCAUCUUCUCCUGAAACGCCGAAGCCGAAGUCCAACGAUGUUGUUGCGACUAACAUCUUCUUUGCAUUGUCGCCUCUUUGUGCGGUCUUGUAUCUUUCUUCUUUCUUUGAUUGUUGUAGAAUCUAUUUUUGUUUGAUUGUUGAAUAAUCUUUUUUUUAAACUUUCUUUCUGCUACGACUCCCUGAGCAUAGUGGAUCUGCUACGACUCUCUGAGUCUUACACUUGAAAUGAUUUCUAUAAACUUGAUUAAAUGGAAUACUAAGAUUCUCUGCAUCACUUAUACCAUAUUUUCAAAUAGCGUUUUGCCCUAGCCGGAUCUGAGUACGGAUCUGCUCCAAUAUCAUUGAUUUUUUUUAAUCUGUUUUAAAAAUAGAUUAGGGCUCCCAAUGGUCAUACUCUCCUUCUUCCUCCACCAGUCAUCCUUCUUCCAUUGGCUAGGCUUCCUCCAACCAGCGACCUUCUUCUCUGGUGACCUCAGGUGACAUCCAGGGAACAGUUUUUUCCGACCAGAACUUUCAUUUUUGUAGGAACAUCAUUUCCUUGAGUUUUUCUGUUUUUUGUAACUACUAUUAUAUAUAUGAGGAUUAUUUUUGGGUAGCCCCUUAAACUUAUUUUUGGAUGCCCCAAUCAUAAACCAACGAAUGAUGAUUAUCAAAUGGCGGGAAGAGGUAUUUAAUUGGGUUUUGAAAAUCAAAUUGGUCUCAAUCUUUAUUUAUAAUUAUUUUAUAUAUAUUAUCAUGGUUUAAAUCAUAUCUUAUCUUCCAAUUCAGCUGCGUUUUACAAACUUGGAUGAUAUCUACUUGUUCAAUUUCAUCUAUCUUCGGAAGUGAAAGACAAAGUAGUUGAGUUAAUGGUUUGAUCAGGUCGUAUAUUAAUUUCAACUUUGAUUUUUUCCCAAAGAGAUUCCUUUCAUUUUAGCCGAUGAGGAUCAGAAUCUCUAGUAAAUAUCACAUAAAUGGUUGGCCAAUGUUGAUUGUCUCCAUUAAUGAAUUUGGACCAUGCUUUCCUGCUAUGCCUGGAAAUAUAUUAAUAUUAACAAACAUAUAUAUCACAUGUUUUCAUGUCUCCAAUUCUUUGUUAAUGAAUAUUUAUCUAUUUAAGAAAUUAAGAUAAAAACAGUAUAAUUCAUUAUCUUAUACCUCCCAACAAGUGUUUGAAGUUGAGGAUCGAUCAAGCUCCAAAUGGUAUUUUUUAGAUAAGAAUCUAGUUCAUCUGUUCCAAGAACCUGAAAAAUAAAAUAGGAACGUACAUGGUUUUUUGUUUGAUCGAUAUACAAAGAGCUAAAAAACUUCAAUCAUUUAAUUAAAGCAUACCACCAGAUGACAAUCGAUGAUAAAUCACAAAGAAUUAACGAUAGAAUUCAUUGAUGGGAAUAAGAGAGUGCUGCUACAGGGAGAUCCCUAUCUGUCGGAAUCAGAAAUUAUGUACAAAAUCGAGUUUUUUUGUUGUCUCCAAAACUACUAGUUAUUGUAUUUAUCUACCGUGGGAUGUUUAUUUGAAAUCUGUCUAUCUUGGUGUAGACGUAUGUCUAUGGUGAUCUCUAUCGCUGUGGUGAUCUCUAUAGACGUACUAGCAGAUUUCUAGUCCUAAUAGCCCACCUCCCCGCAGUGCACACCAAGAAGUUGCUUGGAAGGAUCAUCUAUAUAUGUUUGGUAAGUUAAGUUGUACUUGAAGUGCUAUUAUUUAAUGACAUGAACAUAUUAUUUAAUCAAAUUAAGUUGUAAUAUAUAAAUAAAUACCACUAAGUGAAUUUUAAAAUGCUUAAUUCCCUUAACCCAACUUCCGUUUCUCAAUCUCUACAUGGUAUCAAAGCCUUCUAAGGCUCCAAUAACACCAAGCUCCCACUGAAGUACAACAUAAACUCUGUCUUCCGAACGGCGAUGGAAAAGCUCGACUAUACUUGCUGGCACUCUCAGUUUAAGACAGUCCUCGAGCUCCAUGAGCUCACACAGAUUGUGAAGGAGGACCCGCCAUCGACGGAAGAAAGCCUUGACUACGAGGACUGGCGACAUGCUGACCGGUUGGUCAUGACUUGGAUUAAGUUCACCGUCGCCACUUCCGUCCAGCAGAUGAUUGUUUCCUGCAAAAUGGCCAAGGAGGCAUGGGAUCGAUUGGAGAAGUUUCUCUCCCCACUGUGCGUGAUUCACGUGAAGAAUCUUCGCAAUAACAAGUUGUGCACGGCCAAGAAGACCCCUGAGAAUUCUAUGACGGAUUACUUAGUCAUGAUUCGCACCACUGCUGACGCUCUAGCCACGGCAGGCUCACCAGUCCCGGAUGAUGAUAUUGUAGGCUACACGCUUGAUGGACUCGACUUCAACUAUAUAAGGAUCCAGUCGACGUUGCAACUCCAACCAGGUCUGACGUUUGAUGAACUUCUGUCCUUACUAAUCCGCGAGGAGGAUUCGAUUCAGAGGAACCAACCACCUGAAACACCGGCGGCACUAUAUGCACGAAACAACGCUCCACGAACAGGGGAGUCUGGACGUGACAAGAGUCGCAACCGAGGUCGUGACAGAAAGGGAAAAUCGAAUCGCUAUAAAGGAAGUAGGACCGACGACAAAUCAAAAACCGUUGAAGAACACACUGCUGCUCCUCCCACUGGAUCAGGAACGACUCCACCGCUGCUACCAACACCGACGGCGAUGCAAUUUUCCGGCCCAUGCCAAAUCUGCGCGCGAUUCGGACACCACGUGAGAGCUUGCCCAGACAGGAACAAUCAUGUGUUUGUUGCAGAUUCUACAACCUCUGGAAUGUCUGCCCUCUCACUAUCUGGUCCAAUCUCAGGGGAAAGUUCCACUUCUGGGUCAUCUGCAGGCGACUGGCGCCUUGACUCGGGAGCCACGCACCACAUUACUCCGUCGUCGUCUGCCCUGACUCAACCUCGCCGGUACAAUGGUAAUGAUCGAAUUUUAAUAGGAGAUAGAUCAUCUCUUCCAAUUGCCCACUCGGGCACUAUUGAUGUACGCACGGAGGAUGGUGAGAUUCGACUCACCAAUACCCUCCACGUACCUGGACUAUAUCGAAACCUUCUAUCCAUGAAGUGUCUCGCCACUGACCUGCAAGCUUUCAUUCUUAUUGACGAAUUUGGUUUCACCGUGAAGGAGAAAGCGUCCGGGAGGACGAUCGCUCGUGGACUUAAUAACAAAGGAAUGUACCACUUGUCCGGUCGACACUUUAGAGGUGCGGCGAUGACAGGGGUGGGGUACACACAAGUGUGGUCGGGUGGCACCACAGGCUCGGCCAUCCAUCUGAUACCGUCCUAAAGAAAGUUAUCUCGCUCGUUCCAGUUCGUGGCCCUUCGCGACUGCAAUUUUGUCAAGUUUGUGCCUUGAACAAAGGCAGACGACUGUCGUUCUCCACGAGGUCCUCCACUGCCUCUCGGCCACUGGAAGUGUUACAUCUCGAUUUGUGGGGACCGGCGCCGGUGGUCUCUAAGGAGGGAUACAAGUUUUAUUUCAGUAUUGUUGAUGAUUUUUCCCGAUUUUCUUGGAUUAUGCCUAUGGCGUUUAAAUCAGAAUGCUAUGCCUAUUUCUCUAAAUUUGUUCGUCGAAUUGAAAAUCAACUUAUUCACAGAGUAGUAUGGGUUCAAUGCGACGGGGGUGGGGAGUUCAUCAACAUGGAAUUCACAAACUUUCUGGUAUCUAAAGGGAUAUAGAGACGAAUCUCGUGCCCACAUACGCCGCAGCAGAACAGCGUCGUCGAGAGAAAGCACCAGCAUCUAGUCCAAAUUGGAAGGUGUCUACUGAACAAUUCCGGCAUUUCUCAUCUGUACUAGACACAUGCGUUCCAGAGUGCGGUAUUUAUUGCCAACAGACUACCGACUCCUGUCCUCGGCAAGACGAGUCCGUUUGAAAAAUUGUUGAAUCGAAUGCCGGAUUAUAGCAUACUUCGUAAUUAUGGGUGUUUGUGUUUUCCACUAAUUCCAAAUUAAAAGCGAUGCGGAGCAAGCUCGACACUACGUCCAGACCGUCGUGUUUCAUUGGCUACGCCAAUGAAUAUAAGGGCUACAUUUGCUUAGACCCGAUCACCGGGAAAAUUGUGGUGUCGUGGCAUGUUCUAUUCGAGGAGAACACUAUGCCGUUUCAUCUCAAACAAAGUACAGAUGAGACCAGCAACGGCUCGGAUGAGCUGUUUUGUUUGUUGCAGAGUCUCCCAGUCGUCACUGACAACUCACCAACAUCACACAGUCACAGAGCAGACUACACCCGAUAAUUCGAGCUCCAGUCUCUAUGCUCCCGAGACUGUACCGUCUCACAUGAUCUCUGACCCAAGAUCGUCCUCGACUGAAGCAGUAUCGUCUGUCGAUAGAACAGUACCCCCAUCGACGCAUCUAUCAGCAGGCACGCUGAAGAGAUCGCAACGUACGUCGCAGCGACCGAUACGCUUCAGAGAUUUCGUAGUCGACCUUCCCAAGGAAGCCCACAUAUAAAGAAUAUCCGCGAUUUCCGACGUCGACAAACCAACUGACAUCAAGCAGAUCAGAGAGCCGCGAACAGUCCGAGAGGCCGUACUCGACCCACAAUGGGUGGCAGUGAUGGAAGUCGAACUCGAAGCGUUAUCGCGGAACAACACGUGGGACUUAGUCCGGCCUUCUCCACGUAUGAAUAUCGUCGGAUGCCGAUGGGUUUUCAAACUCAAAGAAAAGGCCCGCUUAGUCGCGAAGGGCUUCCAUCAACGAGAAGGGCAGGACUUCGAUCUUACAUACAGCCCUGUAACCAAAGCGGCAACAAUCAGAACCAUCCUCGCCUUGUCCACGGCCAAGGGAUGGCCGUUGCAUCACCUGGAUGUUUGCAACGCGUUUUUGAAUGGAAGGCUCACUGAAGUCGUGCACAUGUCACAGCCGCCGGCGUUCAUAAACAAAGAAUUUCCCAAUCACGUUUGUCGCUUGAACAGGGCUCUGUAUGGCCUCAAACAAGCACCACGAGAGUGGUACCGGCGCCUGAGUACCUUCCUCAAAAGGAUUGGAUUCGUCAAUAGUCAGGCAGACUUUUCGCUCUUCAUUCGCCGAUUCGUUCUGCAGUGUGUAUAUGUGCUGGUAUACGUGGACGAUUUCAUCAUCACCGGGAGUCACCCAGCAGAGAUUAAAUCGUUUAAGCGUACGGUAUGCAACAAAUUUCAGUGCCUAUAUCUGGGAAGUCUGUCAUACUUCCUUGGAUUGGAAGCCAACAUUGCGAACGGAAAUCUACUAAUCACUCAGAGGAAAUACUCGAUGGGGCUACUCCAACGAUUUGGGCUAGUCGAAAGUAAACCUAUUGCUACACACGAGGCUCCGGGAAAGCAUCUAUCCAAGGAUGGCGGUGAAUUAUUCGACGAUCCCCAAAGGUAUCGAAGUCUUGUAGGCGCCCUACAAUACCUGACGCUGUCGAGACCGGAUAUCGCUCAUGCCGUCAAUCAAGUUUGCAAGUAUAUGCAACAUCCUACUGCCGAUCACUGGAAGGCUGCCAAGCGAAUUCUCCGGUAUAUUAAAGGCACGCUCCACAUGGGUCUGGAAUUUCGUUCCUCGAAGUCGACUGAUCUCCAGGUAUACGUCGAUUCGGAUUGGGCCGGCGAUCCAGAUGAUGGAGGUCGACGACAGGGUCCUGCAUUUUUCUUGGACCAAAUCUGGUCACCUGGAUGUCGCAUAAGCAACCCACGGUGUCGCGAUCUUCGGCGGAGGCCGAAUACCGGGCUAUUGCCUAUGCGACUGCAGAACUCCGUUGGUUAUGCCAACUACUACGAGAAUUGGGAAUUCACCUACCGCGGUCGAUUCUGAGCGACAGUAAAUCGGCUAUGUUCAUGGUGAACAAUCCGGUUGUGCAAGCAAGGACGCGACAUAUGGAGAUCGACUACCAUUAUGUCCGCGAAUUUGUGGCUAACAGAUCCCUUACAGUACAACACAUUUCAAGUGCAUUUCAGAUCGCUGAUCUGUUCACGAAGGCACUGUCCACGGAUCUGUUUCGCCGGCACCGGCGUCGACUCAAUCUCGUCGACGUUUCGCCGUCGUGAUUUAAGGGGAGUAUUGGAAUACAGAUAAUGUUAGGGUCAUUAUAGAUAUUCAUACAAUCAAUGUACUAUAAAUACAGCACAUAGGCAUGCUGUAAUCUAUACGAAGUAUAAUACAGAGCAUCCCUUAACCCAACUUCCGUUUCUCAAUCUCUACAUUAAUCACCCUUGAAAAUUUCUUAAGGUGUUUCCUUUAAAUCGUCUGUUUCUGAAUUUGAAUGUUAUCAAUUUCAGUAUUCUUUAUUUCUUUCUUUCAUCUGUUAUAUUAUAUUUUCUCUAUAGGAGGUGAAUUUACAUCCCCAAACCAAGAACGUUUUCAUCACUACAAGGUAUCUCUUUUUAAUAUUAUGUGGUAGCAACAUGAAUCAUUAAUUCUCAUUCUUAAUCAUCAUACUGUGUGAAAUUGGAAAUCGAAGAAAAUCUAUUUUAUGCAAUCAAUCAUUCAUAUAUAAAUAAUGUUAUGAUCAAUGGCAACAUACCCAAAUUUACUAUAAAGAAUGUGCCAUAUUAUUCUUAACCAUUUUGACAGUUUAUGUUUUAUUUUAUACUGAAUUACUACUUUCAAAACAGCUUAUGCUUUUUUUUCUUGAUUGCAUAGGAUUUUUGGACACUGAAUCUUAAAACAAACCAAUGGGAACAACUACUUUUGAAAGGAUGUCCAACUGCACGCUCAGGACAUCGCAUGGUAUGUCUCUUUUUAUUUGCUACUUUAGUGCUUACACCAGUGGUAAGUACUUGCCUAUUCCAUAAUUCCCUUUUUACUUUCAUUUUUAUAAUAGUUGAUUGGAAAAUAAAUAAUGUUAAAUCUUACAUAGGUUAAACAUUCCUAAUUCACAUAGUAUAUUGAUGCAAUACAAAGUGGUCUUGGUUAUGCAUCCAAGGACUUAAUUGGAAAUGACCAAGUGGAAGGUAAUUGGCUUGACCAAGGUCAAGCCAAUUCAUAUCAUUUUUAGGGAAUAUUUAACUCACAUUAUUGGGUUGCUCAUUACCAAUAAUGUGAGUAUAAAUACAAUGGGCCCUUGAGAGGAAGAUCAGUUUAGAAUAUUGUGCAAACAAGGUAUUACCUUAAUUACUCCUCUCUCUCAUUGCUGAAUAUCUUCUACUUCUUCUUGCUUUUCUUACCACUACCUUCACUAUUAUUCACUGUUCUUAGAUCUAGAUCAAAAACUUGGUGGAUUCCAAGCCCCGAUUUGGUCAUUGUGAGGAAGAUAUCCAUCUUCAUCACUGUUUUCGUUUGUCUACUGCAUUGGAGAGUUUCCAACUACAUCAGGUGGUAUCAGAACUUGGUUAGUGAUCGGAAGCUCUCCAAAUCAUGGUUGAUGAUCAUGUGUCGUGCCAAGAAUGCGAAGCUACGACGAAAGCCAUUGCAGAUCUUACUACUGCAAUGCGAGAAGAAUUUCAGGAGUUAAGGAGAUCCAUUACAGCUCCGGGAGAACCGAUGGUGACUGCUGACGGUCGCCCACUACCUGAUCGGAGGCAUCUGGAUCCGUCGUCCACUGUCUUAGAACCACCAGCGGGUGUGUAUCAACGUUGGCCAAUAGAAGAUAACCUGUCUGCACUUAUCAGAGAAGGAACAAAAUGCAGAUAGAUGGGGGUCGACGUUCGCCGGAACCAGUAGCGCCGUUCUUUCCUCGCCGGCCGGUGGACCUUCCGAUAAACACUUAUCAGAGGAGAGGUAAUAAUCUUACUAAUCACUUAGAUCAGUUUGCAGAAUUGUUUGAUGAUGAAUAUGAAGAUGUUGAGUAUAUGCCACCAUGAACCAACCAAAGAAGGCAGCAAUAUCAGAGGAUGAGAAGAGAAUUCACUGAUGCGAACGAUUGUGGAAUUGUGGAUCAGAGGCAAUACCCGAGGAGGCAAGGGCAGUUCAAGCUGAAGAUGGAUAUUCCAUCAUUUAAUGGGACUGCCCAUAUUGAGGAGUUUCUGGAGUGGUUAGUAGAGGUAGAGCGUUUCUUUGACUAUAUGGAUAUAGAUGAGGAUCAACAGGUAAAAUUGGUGGUGCUGAGGUUCAAGGGCGUGGCUUCUACCUGGUAGACUACCACUAAUAUAAAGAGAGCUAACCAAAGACCAGUCCGCACUUGGCAAAAACUAAAAAAAUUGCUUAAACAAAGAUUUUUGCCAAGCGAUUAUGAGGGAGUAUUAAUUACACAGUACCAUCAGUGCUGCCAGGGAGUAUGUGACAUAAUCAUUGACAAUGAAUCAACGGAUAAUUUAAUCUCUUGGAAGGCUGUAAAGAAGUUAAAUUUGACACUGGAAGAUCACCCUAAACCUUAUAGUGUCUCGUGGAUCCACAGUGGAAGUUCAGUCACAAUCAACAAGAGUUUUAAGGUCCCACUGUCAAUUGGGAGAAGAUAUAAGGAUGAAAUCACUUGUGAUGUGGUUAAUAUGGAUGCGGCACACGUAUUGUUAGGUAGACCAUGGCAGUAUGAUGUGCUUGCACAUUAUAAUGGGAGGACUAAUCAGUACAUAAUUAAGGUGGAAGGACUGAAAGUGGCUCUACUACCAUUGGCACUUGAAAAAAAUCAACCAUCUGAGAAGCCAAAUUUGUUAGUCACAACACAUGGGGAUUUUAGGAUGACACUUGCUGAAAACGGUACUGGGUUAGCACUGAUAGUGAAAGAAAUCACUGAAAGUAAAAUAAUCUGUAUUCCUACUGCAAUAUCAGAAUUAUUAAAGCAGUUUCCUAGUGUCACUGAAGAAGAACUGAAAGUUCUACCACCACACAGAGCUAUUGACCACAGGAUUGACCUUAACCCUGGAGCCUCAUUACCAAAUUUACCUCAUUACAGAAUGAGUCCAGUAGAAUCUGAAAUAUUUUAAAAUCAAGUAGAGAAAUUGAUGAAGGAAGGACUGAUCAGACCAUCCAUUAGUCCUUGUGCAGUUCCAGCCUUAUUGGUACCCAAAAAAAAUGUGAGUGGAGAAUGUGUGUUGAUAGCAGAGCUAUCAACAAAAUCACAGUGAAAUAUAGAUUUCCUAUACCAAGGUUGGGGGAGUUGUUGGAUGUGUUGCUAGGAUCUAAAUAUUUUACAAAAUUAGAUCUAAAAAGUGGUUAUCACCAAAUAAGGAUAAAAGAAGGGGAUGAGUGGAAAAUUGCCUUCAAAACCAGCAAGGGAUUAACAAAACGGUGGUGGUUUACUUUGAUGAUAUAUUAAUAUACAACAAAGAUAAAGAAACACAUAUUGAGGAUAUAAGCAAAGUAUUACAGUUACUGAAUGAAAAUCAUUUGAAAUUGAAUUUACAAAAAUGUGAUUUUAUGGUUCAUGAAGUGCAUUUUUUGGGAUAUAUAGUUAGUGCUAGUGGACUGAAAGUGGAUCCUGCAAAAACAGAAGCAUUGAGAAGCUGGCUGUCUCCAACCAAUGUAACUGAAGUAAGGAGUUUCUUGGGGUUGGCCUCUUUUUAUAGGAGGUUCAUCAGGGACUUUUAAGUGGUCUUAGUUAUGCAUCCAAGGACUUAACUUGGUGGCCAUGAUAGUAUUAUUGAAGUUACUCAUUCUAUGAGCCAGAAUCUUUCUAUCAAUGAUUGUGUAGUUACUGAUAGAAAUACAAUUCAAACAAAUGGAAAUUUUAAACCCCGAGUGUGCUCAUCAAAUGAGGUCAGUUGCAGUAAAGUUUAAUGCCAUUUUAUUAUUGGUGUAUUACUCUACCAUAACAAUUCAAUUUUAGGCAGUGAAACCUUGUGGACGUAUCAAUUCUUGUAUGUUUGUUGGAAGAGAUACAUUAUAUCUUUAUGGAGGUAUGAUGGAAAUCAAAGAUCAAGAAAUCACACUUGAUGAUCUUUAUACGUUAAAUCUUAGUAAACUUGACGAAUGGAAGUGUAUCAUACCGGUAUAUUUAAAUUUCAGUCUUUCAUUUGCUACUUUAAAGCAUAGAUUAAAAAGCGACGCUUAAAGCGUCGCUUUAAUAGCUUAAAGCGGAAAAGCGCUCCUGGAGGAGCGCUUUCCAAAUCGCUUUUUUUAAGCGGGUGAGUGGAUCGGGUUAGUGGGUUUCUACCCAUCACCAGGCAGUAGAAGCUUAGAGAAGGGAGGAGGAGAAAGAUAUGUAAGCUGCAGUAGAAGCAAACUCUUCAAACAGAUUUCUUCCUCUUUUAUAGUUGCUGGAAGUUUCUCAUGGUCCAGCACCUGUCUGGCCAGGUGUCUUCCCAAAUUAGACACCUGGUUGGUUUGUUACACCUAUAAAUAUUACACAUAUAAAUUACACCUAUAAAUUACACCUAUAAAUAUUCAUCACCUGGUUGGUUUGUUAAACGGUGUAACAAGUUAUAUUACACCUAUAAAUAUUACAUGUUUACUGUAAUAGGAAAUGAUAAAAAAAUACCCUAAAAAUAGCUUAUAAAUAGGAAAUGAUAAAAAAUACGUGUAGUAAGAUAACAUUUUCAGCAAGGUGGAAAUGUUAUUUUACACAUUUUACUACACGUUUGCAGUAAGAUAACAUUGGGUCUUGUGUUUUCAUCAUUCUAUUAGCUACCUGUCUGCAAAUUAUAUGAAAAGUUUAUGUAAUUUCAUCAUUCUAUUGGGUCUUGUAUUUUAAGCAAGUUGCUCUAAGUUUUCGAAAUUUAAUCCAAAAAAUUAAAAAUAAUUUGGAGAUGGCCAAAGAAAGAAAUCUAUUAUUAGAACAUGGUUAUAAAAACAAUAAUGACCAUGAUAAUGACAAAAACAGGGAUUCUUGUAGUGUUUUAUUUUUACAUCGAAUUGAAGAGUUUUAGUUUUAACAGAAUGCUAGAUGAGAAAGGAGACGGAAAAGACAGAUGAGUAUGAACGAAAGCCUCUUUGGAUUAUAGAUUGAAAACUAUAUAAAGGGUAAAAGCUAGCCUUUUUUUUGCGUUUUUCAAAUUUAAAACGAAAGUAUUUGAAAAACAAAUGUUAAUAAUAAUAUAGAUAACUGAUUGUCUCAGUUAAACCUUUGUAUAUCACUAUUAUGAAGGUUUUUAACUGAAAAUAAGUAAAAUUAUAUAUUAAUAUGACCCGCCAAACUCAAUAAUAAAGCCAUAAGAGCACAUGAGAGGGUAGAGUGAGAGACGGAAGAAGAUGACUGACUCAUUAUACCCGUCAAACAUGUCGGGUCUAGGUUCGGGUGGAUAUUUUCAGCUAUGAAAUCUGUUGAACCUGAAUUUUUUUCACCCGAUUUUUUCGAGUUCGGGUUGAAAUUUUUUUAUUAAAAAAACCUUAAAAUAAUUGUCGAGCUCGUGAGCUUCGAUCUUGAGUCUGGACAAUGCCUUAACGAGUUCGAGCCCGAGCCUGAAUAAUUCUUUAACGAGUUGAGCUCGAGUCCGAAUCCGGCUCUAUAAGCAAAAGCUUGGCUAGUCUUGUUUGACACUCUAGCAGUAGCUAACCUUUUUUUACGUUUUUCAAACUUAAAACGAAAGUAUUUAAAAAACAGCUGUUAAUAAUAAUAUAGAUAAAUGAUUGUCUAAGUUAAACCUUUGUACGUAUAUCACAAUUACAAAGGUUUUUAACUGAAAAUAAGUAAAAUUAUAUAUUAAUAUGAGUAUAUGACCCGUACUGUAUAAAUGAAAAUAACAAGCUGUAAUUCGUUCGAACGUCAGACUCAAUAAUAAGGGAAAGUAGAUUGAAAGACGGAAGAAGAUUCGUUAGUUUUUUGUCAUUUUCUAUUAUUUAAUAACGGUGGUUUAAUUAAUUGAAACAUAUUCGUUGGGAUUAUUCACCAAAUAAGAUUCCAUCGAUCUCAACUUUCAUUGUUUUCUUCAACAUUUUCAUACGGAAGUAUUAUAAAUUGCUGGUUGUUCAUGAAAUCAGAAAUCUUAUACAUGUUUUAAAUUAUUUGUCACCAUUUUAAAUUGAUUUCUUCUGAUGACAGAUAACCUAAAAUUUUCUAUUCAUGCUGCAUUAUGUCAGUUUUUGGAUAGAUCGACCGUGAGUCAUGUUCAAAGAAAAACCUUUGGGUGAUGGUUGAUUCGCUGUUCAUUUAAAUGAUUCUUUAUUCAUGGCUCACAUUUAUUUAAUCUCUAUAUAUAUAUAAUUACUCCGUCGAUAGUAUAGCUCUGUCUCUACUUCCAAAAUUCCGAACAUUGUCAUUCUACCUUUCAAGAUUUCUUCUCCACAACCAAUCGAAGCCAUGGAAUCGGUGCUAAUAUCAUUUAUUCUGGAAGAGGCCUCAAAACAUUUGAUCAAAGUUCUGGGGGCGGAAUUCACACUCAUAAAAAAUACUCCGGGCGAAUUGGAAAAACU
rnacentral:lncRNA from 1 species